rnacentral:rRNA from 1 species
ACGGGAGGCAGCAGUUAGGAAUAUUGGGCAAUGGAGGCAACUCUGACCCAGCAACGCCGCGUGAAGGACGAAGGUCUUCGGAUUGUAAACUUCUUUUUUGUGGGACAAAAACAAUGAUGGUACCACUAGAAUAAGACACGGCUAACUACGUGCCAGCAGCCGCGGUAAUACGUAGGUGUCAAGCGUUGUCCGGAAUUACUGGGCGUAAAGAGAGCGUAGGUGGCUUAUUAAGUUGAAUGUGAAAGCCCGGGGCUUAACUCCGGAAGGUCAUUCAAUACUGGUAGGCUUGAGUUUAGUAGGGGUAAGCGGAAUUCCUAGUGUAGAGGUGAAAUUCGUAGAUAUUAGGAAGAACACCGGUGGCGAAGGCGGCUUACUGGGCUAACACUGACGCUGAGGCUCGAAAGCGUGGGGAGCAAACAGGAUUAGAUACCCUGGUA